UAUGCAUUAUAUUGAUUGAUUUCGAUAUCAUAUAAUUAUGUGCAUUCCUAUCGAAUUAGAAUAAAAAAUAUGAUUUAUGAAGAAUUUAGAUUCAAGAAUAAUAUGAACUGACAACCUAACUAUGUAAAGAAUCCCGCCAAUAGGGAUAAAUAUAUUGACAAUUGAUUUAUCCUAACUGUCUAUAUCACUAGCAAGAUCAACGACAAACCACCAGCAAGAUCAAUGGUUUCGAAAAACUUUACUACCAGAUGAUUCAUAGUUCACCGCAAAUUGAUACGCGAUGUUUUAACCCUGCCAUAAGAAAAAUAUGGUCAUAGCUUAUGGUUAAUAAAAAGAAUUUGAGAAUAAAAGAAUUGAAUUCUUAAAAGAAACUUAAAUUUUUAAAAAAAUAAUUAAAUUUGGCAUGAACUAUAUUAUAUAAUUAAAAUUGAUUUCGAAUUGAUGAACUGUAUAUGCUUAUUUCCUAUAAAUGAUUAUUUAUUUUAAUAUCUGAUAUAAUCUAGUUAAAGUAAUUAUUACUUACUAAACUGUCUAACUCAUUAUUUUUUAUUUUAAUAUUUUUACACAUCUUGAGAAACUAAGAUGAUACAAGAUAUAUGCGGGA
rnacentral:lncRNA from 1 species